UGAUAUAGUAGCAUAAAGGCUUUCCCCCUUCUGUUUCGUCUGGUACAAAGUCUCCCUCUAUUUUAGAAACUUCAGACACCAUGUCGUAUUCGGCUGGCAGUACCGACACAAUUCCGCAGUUUACGACGAAAUCAUCACCGUAGAUAUCUUCGUUGUUUUCGCCAUACAUAUCUUCGUUGAAUUCCUUAUCAGACUGAGGAGACUAAUCAGGUUCUCCUUCCUCUAGUUAGGGAGAAUAUUCU
rnacentral:lncRNA from 1 species